GACGAACGCUGGCGGCGUGCCUAACACAUGCAAGUCGAACGGAACUGUUUUGAAAGAUUUCUUCGGAAUGAAUUUGAUUUAGUUUAGUGGCGGACGGGUGAGUAACGCGUGAGUAACCUGCCUUCAAGAGGGGAAUAACAUUCUGAAAAGAAUGCUAAUACCGCAUGACAUAUCGGAACCACAUGGUUUUGAUAUCAAAGAUUUUAUCGCUUGAAGAUGGACUCGCGUCCGAUUAGUUAGUUGGUGAGGUAACGGCUCACCAAGACCGCGAUCGGUAGCCGGACUGAGAGGUUGAACGGCCACGUUGGGACUGAGACACGGCCCAGACUCCUACGGGAGGCAGCAGUGGGGGAUAUUGCGCGAUGGGGGCAACCCUGACGCAGCAACGCCGCGUGAAGGAUGAAGGUUUUCGGAUUGUAAACUUCUUUUAUUAAGGACGAAAAAUGACGGUACUUAAUGAAUAAGCUCCGGCUAACUACGUG
rnacentral:rRNA from 1 species